UUACGCUGUUAUCCCUAAGGUAAUUUAAUCUUAUAAUCAAUAUCAAUGGAUCACACCAUUAUAAAUCAAUAUAACCAACAUAAAGAGGAGUUAAAUUUAUAUUCCUCUCAUCGCCCCAACAAAACAAAUAGGCCCACUUAACUAAACAAAACAAACAAUACACAAAAAUAGACCAAAUGUUAAACUCUAUAGGGUCUUCUCGUCCCAUAAAAACAUUUAAGAAUUUUAACUCAAAAACUAAAUUCAAUAAAACAUUCACCAACUUAAGACAGCUCGUAUCUCGUCAAGCCAUUCAUUCCAGAUCACAAUUAAAGAACUAAUGAUUAUGCUACCUUUGCACGGUCAAAAUACCGCGGCCCUUCAACACUCAGUCAGCGGGCAGGCCAUACUUCAGAAACUAACAAGAAAAGAUGUUUUUGAUAAACAGGCG
rnacentral:rRNA from 1 species